AUGAGGAGUAUCAGAUGGAUUUUGAGGGAACUUCAGAUAUGACAUUUUGGUGAUGUGGCACACAUUCCUCUGGAGAUAAUCCAGCAUGCAGGUCUCUCAGCAGUUUGAAAAGGCCACAGCUGGCUGCAGCAGAUGGAUGGUGACUUAGAAGACGUGAGUAUGGCCUAAUUGCCUUGCUUAGUGGUUGUCAUCUUGGACCACGAGUGGUUCUGUAAUGUGAUGGAUGCAAUAAAGUGUAGGAGUGACACAUGCUCCAAGAGAGACCUGGUCCAGAAAAAAAUGUUUUGUUUUUUU